AACGAACGCUGGCGGCAGGCUUAACACAUGCAAGUCGAACGCACCUUUCGGGGUGAGUGGCAGACGGGUGAGUAACGCGUGGGAAUCUACCCUUCUCUACGGGAUAGCUCCGGGAAACUGGAAUUAAUACCGUAUACGUCCUGAGGGAGAAAGAUUUAUCGGGGAAGGAUGAGCCCGCGUUGGAUUAGCUAGUUGGUGGGGUAAAGGCCUACCAAGGCGACGAUCCAUAGCUGGUCUAAGAGGAUGAUCAGCCACAUUGGGACUGAGACACGGCCCAAACUCCUACGGGAAGCAGCAGUGGGGAAUAUUGGACAAUGGGCGCAAGCCUGAUCCAGCCAUGCCGCGUGAGUGAUGAAGGCCCUAGGGUUGUAAAGCUCUUUCAGUGGGGACGAUAAUGACGGUACCCACAGAAGAAGCCCCAGCUAACUUCGUG
rnacentral:rRNA from 1 species